rnacentral:rRNA from 1 species
CCUACGGGGGGCUGCAGUGGGGAAUAUUGGACAAUGGGGGGAACCCUGAUCCAGCCAUGCCGCGUGUGUGAAGAAGGCCCUCGGGUUGUAAAGCACUUUCAGUGAGGAAGAACGCCUGGUGGUUAAUACCCAUCAGGAAAGACAUCACUCACAGAAGAAGCACCGGCUAACUCCGUGCCAGCAGCCGCGGUAAUACGGAGGGGGCGAGCGUUAAUCGGAAUUACUGGGCGUAAAGCGCGCGUAGGUGGCUUGAUAAGCCGGUUGUGAAAGCCCCGGGCUCAACCUGGGAACGGCAUCCGGAACUGUCAAGCUAGAGUGCAGGAGAGGAAGGUAGAAUUCCCGGUGUAGCGGUGAAAUGCGUAGAGAUCGGGCGGAAUACCAGUGGCGAAGGCGGCCUUCUGGACUGACACUGACACUGAGGUGCGAAAGCGUGGGUAGCAAACAGGAUUAGAUACCCGAGUAGUC